rnacentral:rRNA from 6 species
UGCCUGGCGGCCUUAGCGCGGUGGUCCCACCUGACCCCAUGCCGAACUCAGAAGUGAAACGCCGUAGCGCCGAUGGUAGUGUGGGGUCUCCCCAUGCGAGAGUAGGGAACUGCCAGGUAU